AGAGUUUGAUCCUGGCUCAGAUUGAACGCUGGCGGUAUGCUUUACACAUGCAAGUCGAACGGCAGCACGGGGGCAACCCUGGUGGCGAGUGGCGGACGGGUGAGUAAUACAUCGGAACAUGUCCGGAAGUGGGGGAUAGCUCGGCGAAAGCCGGAUUAAUACCGCAUAUGCCCUGAGGGGGAAAGGAGGGGAUCCGCAAGGACCUUUCGCUUUCGGAGUGGCCGAUAUCGGAUUAGCUAGUUGGUGAGGUAAAGGCUCACCAAGGCGACGAUCCGUAGCUGGUCUGAGAGGACGACCAGCCACACUGGAACUGAGACACGGUCCAGACUCCUACGGGAGGCAGCAGUGGGGAAUUUUGGACAAUGGGGGAAACCCUGAUCCAGCCAUACCGCGUGAGUGAAGAAGGCCUUCGGGUUGUAAAGCUCUUUCAGACGGAAAGAAACGGCCACGGCUAAUACCUGUGGCUAAUGACGGUACCGUAAGAAGAAGCACCGGCUAACUACGUGCCAGCAGCCGCGGUAAUAC
rnacentral:rRNA from 1 species